rnacentral:Y_RNA from 1 species
GACUUCUAAGGUAGUGAGUUAUCUCAGUUGAUUGUUCACAGUCAGAUCCAGAGUGAACUCCUGUUGUACAUUUCCCUUUCUCACUACUUACUUGACUAGUCUAAA